ensembl:lncRNA
CCUGGGUCAUGAGUUCCAAACCUAUGCUAAGCCUCAGAUUUUAAAUGUAAUAUGCCAAAACCUUUAUCAGCGCACAGAAAUGAAUCAAGGCCACAAGCUUUAAAAUACACUACCGUGAAAGAGUUCAUCAUACCAACCCAAGCACAUUCCAAAAGUAAAUAAAUGGGUGUCUCAAUGCUCCCAAGCAUUAAUAAAAGGGCUUGAAACAACAACAGAAAUAAAAAUCCCUCAUGACAUUCAAACAGGAUCCUCCCCAAAGAUUUAAAUAUGCCAUUACUGUCCUCUCAGUGCCACUAACAGCCUUACAAAAACAAUGUUAUGAAAUUUUAGCAUAAGAAGGUGACUGCAUAUCUUGUCAAGAGCUAAAAAUCAAACAGGGAAGCAGAGUUCUAAAUUUCUUUAUAAUUGCCUCAUUGAAUUAAUAAUACUAAUAACCAGGAGGAGAGGUCCAGCUUAAUUUUUCACAAACGUAGAUUAGAUGAUUUUCCUAAGGCCCCUAGCACAAGCCAAGAUCAAAAUUCCUCAUGGUUUCCCCUGGCUUAUGGUUUGAACACUGAGUCAUCCGUGCUUGAUCAAAACAUGGGUACCCUUGAGGUCGCACAAGUGAUAAAGUCAACUAAAAAAAGAGACCUCAGGAAAAAACCACUCAUUAUAUAACGUUUCUAAGAGCGAAACAUUUCUCUUCAACUGGAUUCCUAAGACAUUUUUGUACAUUAAAUUUAUUGACAACAACAUAACAGAUCAUAGAGGGAACACACAGACCACAAUACUUGGGUGGAAGGGGACGGCGUUUAACCUGAUACAAGUCUACGGAGUUACGGAAUCAAUUGACUGAAAUAUCAAAUUCUCUGCCAGAAGAAUUUCCAAACACCGGGGUUAUCUCAAAGAUAAAUGGGGUCGGCUCAAACUUCCAGGCUGAACCUCAAUUGCUGGCCCCUCGAGCUUAACAUGCAAGUAUUCAUUAUGGUCCUUUUGUCUGUGGAAUGACCCCACACACCAAGCCACAGCCAAGGGAAUAACAAGGUCACCAUGCACAAAGGAAAAACUGACAAUUGCAGCGGCCUGGAGUCACUGGAACUGGAGCAUAACGUUUUUCUUGUGUUGCUGUGCUGGCAGACAAUGUCUGUCACUAUUAGAAAGAAAGAAAAUGAAUCUUCAAGAGGAAGGUGUACUCUCACUCAAGAGCUCAGAAAAUAGACCUCCUUUUUUUUUUUUAAACAAAAACACAUUAGCUUUCCAUCAGAAAGCCACUCAUACUCUAUAAAAACUGCCUGAGUUGAUAUUGCAUUGUGGCAUGGGUCAACAAUAGAAAGAUGCUUUCUUUCCUGGCAAUUAUUUUCAACAGAAAAAGAAAAUUUAAGAUGUCCAUUUGGAAAUGUUUUCUUCAGAGUGUAGAACUUAAACUGAUACCUUGACAAUCAACCCAG